UCUUUAAAAGACGCAGCACGGAUACAGAGAAUUUAAAUAACGGGCCCAAGAUUUAGGGGAUAAGCUUCAUCGUCAAGAGAGAAAUAGCUUGGAUCACCAGCUCAAAUUCCUAAACGACCGCUCAGUGAUAAAGGAGGUAGGGAUGCAGAGACAAUUAGGAAGUUUGCCAAGAAGCUACCUAUGAAAGAGUGCAUAAUAGCUCAUUGAUCCAACGCUCUUGCGUCGGAGAUGAACGGCCUAAGUAUGUCUGCAGAAACUGUGGGAUGUAAAAUACAUCAGUAAAGGA
rnacentral:ncRNA from 1 species